GUUAAGCGACUAAGCGUACACGGUGGAUGCCCUGGCAGUCAGAGGCGAUGAAGGACGUGCUAAUCUGCGAUAAGCGUCGGUAAGGUGAUAUGAACCGUUAUAACCGGCGAUUUCCGAAUGGGGAAACCCAGUGUGUUUCGACACACUAUCAUUAACUGAAUCCAUAGGUUAAUGAGGCGAACCGGGGGAACUGAAACAUCUAAGUACCCCGAGGAAAAGAAAUCAACCGAGAUUCCCCCAGUAGCGGCGAGCGAACGGGGAGCAGCCCAGAGCCUGAAUCAGUGUGUGUGUUAGUGGAAGCGUCUGGAAAGGCGCGCGAUACAGGGUGACAGCCCCGUACACAAAAAUGCACAUGCUGUGAGCUCGAUGAGUAGGGCGGGACACGUGGUAUCCUGUCUGAAUAUGGGGGGACCAUCCUCCAAGGCUAAAUACUCCUGACUGACCGAUAGUGAACCAGUACCGUGAGGGAAAGGCGAAAAGAACCCCGGCGAGGGGAGUGAAAAAGAACCUGAAACCGUGUACGUACAAGCAGUGGGAGCACGCUUAGGCGUGUGACUGCGUACCUUUUGUAUAAUGGGUCAGCGACUUAUAUUCUGUAGCAAGGUUAACCGAAUAGGGGAGCCGAAGGGAAACCGAGUCUUAACUGGGCGUUAAGUUGCAGGGUAUAGACCCGAAACCCGGUGAUCUAGCCAUGGGCAGGUUGAAGGUUGGGUAACACUAACUGGAGGACCGAACCGACUAAUGUUGAAAAAUUAGCGGAUGACUUGUGGCUGGGGGUGAAAGGCCAAUCAAACCGGGAGAUAGCUGGUUCUCCCCGAAAGCUAUUUAGGUAGCGCCUCGUGAAUUCAUCUCCGGGGGUAGAGCACUGUUUCGGCAAGGGGGUCAUCCCGACUUACCAACCCGAUGCAAACUGCGAAUACCGGAGAAUGUUAUCACGGGAGACACACGGCGGGUGCUAACGUCCGUCGUGAAGAGGGAAACAACCCAGACCGCCAGCUAAGGUCCCAAAGUCAUGGUUAAGUGGGAAACGAUGUGGGAAGGCCCAGACAGCCAGGAUGUUGGCUUAGAAGCAGCCAUCAUUUAAAGAAAGCGUAAUAGCUCACUGGUCGAGUCGGCCUGCGCGGAAGAUGUAACGGGGCUAAACCAUGCACCGAAGCUGCGGCAGCGACACUAUGUGUUGUUGGGUA
rnacentral:rRNA from 1 species